UUUGUUGUUUGCACUGUUUGUGCCCUCGUUGAAUGUGUAUGUUUAGAGUUUAAAGUCCUGGGUAAAUUCUUGUACACAUUCCUGUUGUGGAGCCUUGGGCGGACAGGGGAGGUGCUGUCCGUUCGGCGGUCUGUCGCCGCGGCCAAAUCGUGCCAAAUUGGUAGUGAUUUCGGGGCGAGGCGUGACAGUGUGCGACGACUUCGCCGCUAGGGGGCUGAGAGCGGUAGGCUGAUGAGCAGCCGGUGCGCGGGCUAUCCGCGAAUGAUUGACUCGAAGCCGAGUCGUGUGGUUAGCAUCGAUAGGGUAGAGGAACCCUUAUGAGCUAGAGAUAGAGGCUUGAAGUAAGGG
rnacentral:lncRNA from 1 species